rnacentral:rRNA from 1 species
AGCGAACGCUGGCGGCAGGCCUAACACAUGCAAGUCGAACGGAUCCUUCGGGAUUAGUGGCGGACGGGUGAGUAACACGUGGGAACGUGCCCUUUGGUUCGGAACAACUCAGGGAAACUUGAGCUAAUACCGGAUGUGCUCUUCGGGGGAAAGAUUUAUCGCCAUUGGAGCGGCCCGCGUCUGAUUCGCUAGUUGGUGAGGUAACGGCCCGCCAAGGCGACGAUCAGUAGCUGGUCUGUGAGGAUGAUCAGCCACACUGGGGCUGAGACACGGCCCAGACUCCUACGGGAGGCAGCAGUGGGGAAUCUUGCGCAAUGGGCGAAAGCCUGACGCAGCCAUGCCGCGUGAAUGAUGAAGGUCUUAGGAUUGUAAAAUUCUUUCAGCGGGGACGAUAAUGACGGUACCCGCAGAAGAAGCUCCGGCUAACUUCGUG